UUUCCUUCACUAACUUGGAUCAUUUUCCACAAGUCUCCCUUCCCACCCCAUGUUUAAUUUUCUGGUUUUAUGAUGUUUUGCAAAAUUUAACCAGUCAUUUAGCUCAUACACAUUCUUAAAUGCCAUUGUGAAUUUGAAUAUGAUCCUUAAUUAUGUCCAUAAAGACAUGGAACAUAAGAUACAUGACAAGAAUAAAAUAAGCUGUCUGUUAAGAAAAGCCACUUGCAAAUAAACCUGGUAUCUUCAUUCUCAGUAAUAUGCUUGUGAUGCCCAAAAAUUCUUGGGUGAACAAUUCUUGAGUACCUUUAGAGAGUUACUCGAAGUUUGUAGUAGCAUACAAGCUAUUUCCAGUAUUUGCUAGGCUUUUUUACUACCUUACGUUUAACUUUAGAUUUUUAUGAUCAAAACCAGGAUGUAAAUAUGCAGUCUUGCCUGUAUGACCAGACAGUCCUGAACCUAACCAAGUGUACACACUUAUCAAAUUAUUUCAACUCUACUAAUUCUUACUUCGUAACAAUUACAGUCACAUCGAGUGUGCUCUCUGGACAUCAAGUUACAUUUAAAUAAAAAGUUGAAUUGAUCAACAAACCAUAAAGUCUCUCAAGAUGUGCAGGUUGUCUCUUGUAUUCCUCGAGCAGCUCAUCUGCCUCUUCCAAAAUGCUGCGGUAUUUUGGUAGCAGGAAGUCCACAUUUCCUUCAUGAACUUGUAAUUCCUCAAAGACAUUAUAAAUCAUUAAAAAUUAUCAGCAUUUAAUUAUCAUGAAAGCAUAAAAGUAUGAAGACAGGAGUCUGACAGGAGGAAGUACUUCAGAGACAAAGACAAUCGCCUUCCAAACUAGCAGGAGUUACUUUCGAAGUGCUUAAUUUUCUAGUCUUAUAAUGAAAUGCCAGAUGUCACCUGUCACUUCCUAGACUGGAUUCUCAAAAUCCUGUGUAUUACAGCCUCCAGCUACAAGUACUGCCAGAACAGGAUCCCACCACCACCCAGCACCUACAGGAUCAAGCCUAGUGGAGGCUCAAAGCCUUCAUCAUGUCUUCAUUUCUAGAGGUCCUGGAACUCAAAAAGCAGCAUUUGGCAGGAAGACAUCUGCUUAAAUGUUUUGAAUACAAAUAAGUUAGUAAAGAGUUAUUUUUGGAAAUAAAAGCA